UUAUCACAACAUGAAGUUGAGUACACUCCAGCCAGCACAGGCGCUUUCAAAGGAGAGUUUCAGCUUGAAUCAUGACUCCCCCAGGCUCAAUUCUUUUGGUAUUAGCAGCUUAAAUGUGCACAGCACACAGAGAAGCUUUGUCUGGGGCUUGGAAAAGAGUAAAUCAUUCAGCAUCUUUAAAAUGUCCAGAAUAGUUGAAUAAAGGCAACUGCACUGCAACUUGCUAAUGUAAAAUAUUAGGUGCACCCUAAGUAACAACAACAGCUUGGAGAGACUCUAAUGAUCCCGCUUUAAUUUUGUUGCUGACACCUGGCAACAUUUGGAACUACAAAUAGAGUAGCGGGAAGGAAGGAAGGAAGCCAAAGAGAUUUUCUGUUGCUGUCUCAAUACAUAGAAUGAGAAGGUCUUGAAAGAAAGAGAAAAAAUAAAAAUUGCCUCUGGAAAAGAAUUAGGGGUCCGUUCUAUUGAAUAGUGGUUGCUGCAGGGCCUAGUGGAGUAUAUUGUACUUAAAGCAUUCUGAAUUCUAGUUGGAUUUGCAAGACUUCUCCUAAUUAUGGGUAAAGGGCAGGAAGCUGCUUAAUCUUUUCAGGAAUAAACCUAAUUGUAAAUCCCCAGGACCCUAGACUCUAAAAUUAGGGGGCAGGAGCACAGUCUCCUCUACCAGGUUUCAUCAUUCCCAGCUGUCCCAUGUUGGAGAAGGCAGAGGGGGCUGACAAAGAGGAUCUUAGUUUCCUGACCAGAGAUUGAACCCAGGCCUGGCAGUGAAAGCCUGGAGUCCUAACCAUCGAAUCACCAGGGAAUUCCCAAGAAGCAAAUUCUAAGUGGAGGGAAAAACAUCAAGCCCAAAGGCUCAUCAACAGAAACAUGCCUAGUAUGUCCCAGGAAUGAGAAGUUAGAGGAGUUGGCCUCGGGUGAACAGAUCUGAAUGUAUUAGACUAGAACAGAGAAGUAAAAUAGGCAGAGCAAAUGCUUCCUGAACGAGGAAGUCUAGAACAAACCCCAAAGAAGAAGACAAGCUGUCAAACAGAGAAACGAGUGCACGCUUUGAAAACUAGAAAAAAACUAGGAGGAAUCAGGAACAAGUACUGGGGAGAUUGUGCCAUGAGUGGACCAUCCUGUUCCACUUGUGCACUUCACCUGAUGGAAUGUAGGGACUAUCACAUGGAAGCAUUGAAGGGCUGUCUUCCUUAUUUCUUACCUGCAUUCCCCACUUUUGGGAUGAGUGUGCUCUGAAAGCGGCAUUAUCAGGUCUCAAGUUGAGAAAGCUACGAGGUGGUUGAGAUUACUGUAUAAUGUAAUAUAAACAGUGACUCUGGGAUCCUUCAAAGCCUUUUUUUCUGGGUGAGAAUUUGUACCUCUGUCAGUGCUAGAAGUACAGUUGACACUUCAACAAUACAGGUUUGAACUGUAAGGUUCACUUACACAUGGAUUUUUUUUUUUUUCAAUAAGCAUUGUGCCUGUAUUUUCAUUUUAUAGAUCUUUAAAUGUGUUGGGAAAAGUUUGGGUUCUAUUAGAGAACACAUUAUGUAGAACCACAAGAACUAGAAUUUGAGUCUUGAUUCUGUUCAAACUCUUUCAACUUCCUGCCCUUGGGUGAGUCAUUUAUCAAUUUCUUUGUUUUCAAGAUAGAAUAGUAUGCAGAUUUUCCAUUCCUGGGGAGGAGUCGCUGCCUUUAACCCCCAUGUGGUUCAAGGAUCAAUUGUAUUUACUGCUUCCUCUUCUGGAAUAUGAUUGCCUCUGGAUCAGCAGAGCAGGAAGGUGUGGCCAGGUCGAGGGGAAGGUUGAUGUGGGCUUUGGAUUUAUCCAGGGAGGGUCUGAACUACAACUGGUCUUCUGAUUCCACCUAGAGGUGAGACCUGAAUGUGGCUAAUCAUUCUCUUGGUAUCACCUUCUUGGCUACAAGUUGGCAGGAUCCAGAGUUUACUAAGCAACAUGAAAGAAUCCAGAGUGUGUUUAUACAAUAAAUACAUUGCCAUCUUUUUUUUUUUCUAGUGACAUUUUGUUGUUGUUUUUCAAUCACUAAGUCCUGUCCUAGUCUUUGAGACCCCAUGGACUGCAACACACCAGGCUUCCCUGUCCUCCACUAUCUCCCGGAGUUUCUAUUGACUUAUAUUACAUAUACAAUAAACUAACCUUUAGUGUUCAUGAAUUUUUACAUAUGCACCCUUUAACUACAACCCAGAUAAAAUUAGAGUUUUUCCAGAAGCUCAAAAGGUUACAUGAGGUCUGUUCUCAGUAAAUAUCAUCUUUCAAAGGUAAAUAAUGUUUAUUUUUCUGUUGUAAUGUAGAAGGACGUUGUAUUGUUUCCUGGUGUGGGCUGCUAUGAGUAAAGCUGCUUUAAAUACACUUGACUGUUUCAAUGACCUGUUUC